rnacentral:rRNA from 1 species
CGCGUAGGUGGUAGUGCAAGUCUGGGGUGGAAUCCUAUGGCUUAACCAUAGAAUUGCCUUGGAAACUGUAUUACUUGAGUCAGUGAGGGGAGGGUAGAAUUCCUGGUGUAGCGGUGAAAUGCGUAGAUAUCAGGAGGAGGGCCUGUGGCGAAGGCGGCCCUCUGGCGCUGAACUGACACUGAGGCGCGAAAGCGUGGGGAGCAAACAGGAUUAGAUACCCUGGUAGUCCACGCCCUAAACGGUGGGCACUAGGUGUAGGGCUCGUAAGGGUUCUGUGCCGAAGCGAAAGCAUUAAGUGCCCCGCCUGGGGAGUACGGCCGCAAGGUUGAA